GGGACGCACGAACGGCGUGUACUGCGAGUGAGUGCCAGGCCCUCCCUCAGUGCCCAGCCAAGCUUCUCAGGUGCCGGGUGGAUGUGGAACUGGCACUGUGUUAGAGCUGACCCGGCGGCGACUAAAGUGCGUUGGGAGCAAUGGCUUAGCGGAAGUUCUUUGGGUGAAGGACUGCGAGCAGAUAACUUAUCAGACCAACUGCAGUGUGGGCCAUAGAAUUAAUUAAUUAAGAUUUCAUUGAUAACUAUCACAAAGAUAAGAUAUGUUGAGCUGACACUUGAAACUCGAGUUUUUUUUUACGGUACAAAAAGAUACCAAAGGUGUAGCUAAGGUGAAAAGA